GUGGCUUAGUGGUAGAAUGCUCGCCUGCCACGCGGGCGGCCCGGGUUCGAUUCCCGAUGCA
rnacentral:tRNA from 1 species